rnacentral:rRNA from 1 species
GCAGUAGCCGCGGUAAUACGGAGGGUGCAAGCGUUAAUCGGAAUUACUGGGCGUAAAGCGCACGCAGGCGGUCUGACAAGUCAGAUGUGAAAUCCCCGGGCUUAACCUGGGAACUGCAUUUGAAACUGUCAGACUGGAGUCUUGUAGAGGGGGGUAGAAUUCCAGGUGUAGCGGUGAAAUGCGUAGAGAUCUGGAGGAAUACCGGUGGCGAAGGCGGCCCCCUGGACAAAGACUGACGCUCAGGUGCGAAAGCGUGGGGAGCAAACAGGAUUAGAUACCCGCGUAGUCCCUGUCUCUUAUAC